rnacentral:rRNA from 1 species
GGACCCGCACAAGCAGUGGAGCAUGUGGUUUAAUUCGAUGCAACGCGAAGAACCUUACCCAGGCUUGACAUGCAGUAGACAGUUCCAGAAAUGGGAUCUCCCUUCGGGGCUGCUGCACAGGUGCUGCA